rnacentral:rRNA from 1 species
GGUGGAUGCCCUGGCAGUCAGAGGCGAUGAAGGACGUGCUAAUCUGCGAUAAGCGUCGGUAAGGUGAUAUGAACCGUUAUAACCGGCGAUUUCCGAAUGGGGAAACCCAGUGUGAUUCGUCACACUAUCAUUAACUGAAUCCAUAGGUUAAUGAGGCGAACCGGGGGAACUGAAACAUCUAAGUACCCCGAGGAAAAGAAAUCAACCGAGAUUCCCCCAGUAGCGGCGAGCGAACGGGGAGCAGCCCAGAGCCUGAAUCAGUGUGUGUGUUAGUGGAAGCGUCUGGAAAGGCGUGCGAUACAGGGUGACAGCCCCGUACACAAAAAUGCACAUACUGUGAGCUCGAUGAGUAGGGCGGGACACGUGGUAUCCUGUCUGAAUAUGGGGGGACCAUCCUCCAAGGCUAAAUACUCCUGACUGACCGAUAGUGAACCAGUACCGUGAGGGAAAGGCGAAAAGAACCCCGGCGAGGGGAGUGAAAAAGAACCUGAAACCGUGUACGUACAAGCAGUGGGAGCACGCUUAGGCGUGUGACUGCGUACCUUUUGUAUAAUGGGUCAGCGACUUAUAUUCUGUAGCAAGGUUAACCGAAUAGGGGAGCCGAAGGGAAACCGAGUCUUAACUGGGCGUUAAGUUGCAGGGUAUAGACCCGAAACCCGGUGAUCUAGCCAUGGGCAGGUUGAAGGUUGGGUAACACUAACUGGAGGACCGAACCGACUAAUGUUGAAAAAUUAGCGGAUGACUUGUGGCUGGGGGUGAAAGGCCAAUCAAACCGGGAGAUAGCUGGUUCUCCCCGAAAGCUAUUUAGGUAGCGCCUCGUGAAUUCAUCUCCGGGGGUAGAGCACUGUUUCGGCAAGGGGGUCAUCCCGACUUACCAACCCGAUGCAAACUGCGAAUACCGGAGAAUGUUAUCACGGGAGACACACGGCGGGUGCUAACGUCCGUCGUGAAGAGGGAAACAACCCAGACCGCCAGCUAAGGUCCCAAAGUCAUGGUUAAGUGGGAAACGAUGUGGGAAGGCCCAGACAGCCAGGAUGUUGGCUUAGAAGCAGCCAUCAUUUAAAGAAAGCGUAAUAGCUCACUGGUCGAGUCGGCCUGCGCGGAAGAUGUAACGGGGCUAAACCAUGCACCGAAGCUGCGGCAGCGACGCUUAUGCGUUGUUGGGUAGGGGAGCGUUCUGUAAGCCUGUGAAGGUGUGCUGUGAGGUAUGCUGGAGGUAUCAGAAGUGCGAAUGCUGACAUAAGUAACGAUAAAGCGGGUGAAAAGCCCGCUCGCCGGAAGACCAAGGGUUCCUGUCCAACGUUAAUCGGGGCAGGGUGAGUCGACCCCUAAGGCGAGGCCGAAAGGCGUAGUCGAUGGGAAACAGGUUAAUAUUCCUGUACUUGGUGUUACUGCGAAGGGGGGACGGAGAAGGCUAUGUUGGCCGGGCGACGGUUGUCCCGGUUUAAGCGUGUAGGCUGGUUUUCCAGGCAAAUCCGGAAAAUCAAGGCCGAGGCGUGAUGACGAGGCACUACGGUGCUGAAGCAACAAAUGCCCUGCUUCCAGGAAAAGCCUCUAAGCAUCAGGUAACAUCAAAUCGUACCCCAAACCGACACAGGUGGUCAGGUAGAGAAUACCAAGGCGCUUGAGAGAACUCGGGUGAAGGAACUAGGCAAAAUGGUGCCGUAACUUCGGGAGAAGGCACGCUGAUACGUAGGUGAAGCGACUUGCUCGUGG